CAGGCAGAAUAAAAACUACAAUAAGGAAUUGUAUGCUGACUUCAUUGCUGCCCAGAUCAAAACCUUGUCGUUCCUGGCUUACAUUAUAAGGAUUUAUCAGGAGCUGGUAGCCAAGUAUUCUCAGCAAAUGGUGAAGGGAAUGUUGCAGCUACUGUCCAACUGUCCAGCAGAAACCGCUCACCUGAGGAAGGAACUGCUCAUCGCAGCCAAGCAUAUCCUCACCACCGACCUGAGGAGCCAGUUUAUCCCGUGUAUGGACAAAUUGUUUGAUGAAUCCAUACUCAUAGGCUCUGGCUACACAGCCCGUGAAACGCUCAGG